CCAGAAAUCAGUCACCCAGAGAGCAUGGGCUGCAGCUGAAGGACCUACCAGGAGCUUGACAACAGCUCUGGUCUCCUUGUCCUGGAACUGAGUAGCGGUGAUGUGGCAUCACAUAAGGAAACAACAGACUUUGGACACAGACUAAGCUCUGCAGUUUUUCAGCUUUUUAUUUAUUUAUUUUAUUUAUUUUAUUUUAUUUUAUUUUAUUUAUUUUAUUUUAUUUUAUUUAUUUAUUUUAUUUAUUUUAUUUAUUUUUUAUUUUAUUUUAUUUUAUAUUUUAUUUUAUUUUAUCAUUUUAUUUUAUUUUAUUUUAUUUUUAUUUUAUUUUAAUUUUAUUUGAGAAAGAGUCUCAUUCUGUCACCCAGGCUGGAGUGCAGUGAUGCGAUCUCAGCUCAUUGCAACCUCCACCUCCUGGGUUCAAGUGAUUCUCCUGCCUCAGCCUCCCAAGUAGCU
rnacentral:lncRNA from 1 species